UACAGAGGAGCCAAGCGUUGUCCGGAUUGACUGGGCGUAAAGCGCACGCAGGCGGAUGCGCGCGUGGGGUGUGAAAUCUGGCCGCUUAACGGCCAGGCGCCAUCCCAUACGGCGCGUCUGGAGUGAUGCAGAGGUCGAUGGAAUUGCCGGUGUAGUGGUGAAAUGCGUAGAGAUCGGCAGGAACACCCAGGGGGAAACCAGUCGACUGGGCAUCUACUGACGCUGAGGUGCGAGAGCGUGGGGAGCGAGCCGG
rnacentral:rRNA from 1 species